UUCAGUGAGUAGACCACAGCCCCCUCACCGGAUCCCACAGACAAACUAGAGGACAACACAACACCUGGAUCCUCUCCCUAUUCAUCCAUCCACCCACCCAGGCAUCCAUCCAUCCACCCACCCACCCACCCAGGCAUCCAUCCAUCCACCCAUCCACCCAGGCAUCCAUCCACCCAGGCAUCCAUCCAUCCAUCCACCCAGGCAUCCAUCCACCCAGGCAUCCAUCCAUCCAUCCACCCAGGUAUCCAUCCACCCAGGCAUUCAUCCAUCCAUCCACCCAGGCAUUCAUCCAUCCAUCCACCCAGGCAUUCAUCCAUCCAUCCACCCAGGCAUUCAUCCAUCCAGGCAUUCAUCCAUCCAUUCACCCACCCAUCCAGGCAUUCAUCCAUUCAUCCAUCCAGGCAUUCAUCCAUUCAUCCAUCCAUCCAGGCAUUCAUCCAUUCACCCACCCACCCAGGCAUUCAUCCAUUCAUCCACCCAUCCAGGCAUUCAUCCAUUCAUCCACCCACCCAGGCAUUCAUCCAUUCAUCCAUCCACCCAGGCAUUCAUCCAUCCAUCCACCCACCCACCCACCCAGGCAUUCAUCCAUCCAUCCACCCAGGCAUUCAUCCAUCCAUCCACCCAUCCAUCCAGGCAUUCAUCCAUCCAUCCAUCCAUCCAUUCACCCACCCACCCAGGCAUUCAUCCAUUCACCCAUCCAUCCAGGCAUUCAUCCAUUCAUCCAUCCAUCCAGGCAUUCAUCCAUCCACACUGUGACUUCUACCUGCCUGUGAGUGCUCUCAAACUAAUCACAGUCACAUACAGUGCUGGACCCUAAGGACCGUCAGUCUCAUUUUGUGGACAAAAACAAACCAAAACCCACUGGCCCCUCCCAUCAGGCGGAUGUGUGUCCAACCAACACUGCCCCAGUUGAGCAACAGCGAGGGGAGCCUUUCCCCAGGCACCUUUGCAGUGUAUAGACGGGCCUGAGGCUGGAUGCAUCCCUGCCGUCUGUCCUGGAUUCAGACUGCUGUCCUGCCGUCUGUCCUGGAUUCAGACUGCUGUCCUGCCGUCUGUCCUAGAUUCAGACUGCUGUCCUGCCGUCUGUCCUGGAUUCAGACUGCUGUCCUGGAUUCAGACUGCUGUCCUGGAUUCAGACUGCUGUCCUGGAUUCAGACUGCUGUCCUGGAUUCAGACUGCUGUCCUGCCGUCUGUCCUGGAUUCAGGCUGCUGUCCUGGAUUCAGACUGCUGUCCUGCCGUCUGUCCUGGAUUCAGACUGCUGUCCUGGAUUCAGACUGCUGUCCUGGAUUCAGACUGCUGUCCUGGAUUCAGACUGCUGUCCUGCCGUCUGUCCUGGAUUCAGACUGCUGUCCUGGAUUCAGACUGCUGUCCUGCCGUCUGUCCUGGAUUCAGACUGCUGUCCUGCUGAUUAGAGAUGAUGGGAGAAACAGGAGCUGAGUAUUUCCAUGCUUCAUCAAAAUCCUAUUCUAUAUGGAACUGCACACACACAAUGUGGCACUGCAUGAGUACCUCCUUUCUCAGAGGAGGGAGGCAGGUUCAGAAUAUUCUGCAUUUUGAAUCAUGGCUGACCACAUUCUUUGGAACACAGAGAUAGUUGAGCCAGUUGAUCAAAUAUGGACUACUUUCUCCAGUUUUGUUGGUGUUGUCCCUUUUGUUUUGGUAUACUGUUUGGGUUUCCGUACUUUACAUGAUUUGGGGGGAAAGGGUACAAUACAAUGGGGAUACUGUUUCCUGUCAUUGUCUACACAGCAUUUUGAUACCACUUUGUCGCAAAAUAACCACUCAUUCUAUACACAUACUGGUUAUGUUUUAAGUGUAAAAUAUAUUUCAUAUACCUCCUUCUACCUACCAAACAUAGAAACAAUACACGUGCCUCAACUCCCUUACAAGGAGAAUCAGUGUUACUGAAUAUAUUUUAGUGUUUCAAGGGUAAACCACUCCUGUCUCUUUGGCUGCUUCAGUCUGUACUGGAUCCAGUCCUCCUACUAGUUUAAACAUGUCUGCUGUCUUGACAAAGUUACGUUUUAAAUAUUCAUUUAAACGAUUCUAUAUCAUAUGUUGUAAUACAUAUUAUUAUGUCACCUGUGUUGCACCUGAAAGGAUAAUAAAGUUAUAUUGAAUAUGUAAUUAGGGCUAAAAAAUAUUCUUUUUUUACAUGGGAGGCAUACAUUAAAUCGUUUUAACAAAAACAUAUGGUUACAAAUACAACUUCAUAAUACCAUUUUUAUUUUGUUCUUGUACAGUGCCAUUACAUUCUUGACAUAAUUCUCAGAAUUGUAAACCUAAAACUUUUCAAUAGUUUAUGAAGAGAACAUGCUUGUCAUUGUUUUGUAGUUUGUAUGUCGUCUUAUAUGCUAUCUCAAGGAUGCUCUCAACUGCACUAAUGUAGACCUACCGUAGCACUGCUGAUCUGUACAACAAACCUUUACUUCACGUUGUUUUUAUCGUGAUAAUAAUGAUUUAUUUAACGAUUAGUGUUUUGUAGCUGAAAUUUAGGACUGUAUUUGUGAUUUACUUAAUGUUGCAUGUAAUGUCAGCCAAAGACAUUUGAUUCUGUUUUGAAUCUUCUCCUUAGACUUUAAAAAUAGGAUACCAAGAUCGGAUUAAAAAUAGGAUACCAAGAUCGGAUUAAAAAUAGGAUACCAAGAUCGGAUUAAAAAUAGGAUACCAAGAUCGGAUUAAAAAUAGGAUACCAAGAUCGGAUUAAAAAUAGGAUACCAAGAUCGUUUUAUUAAAAGUCAUAUCGGAUCUCUGGAGGUUGUGGUUCUCCAUUAAGCUCAGGCAUUUACAAAUCCAUCAUUUUAACUAGUCUGAUGGGUGCACAUGUGUGGGUAGGUGCACAUGUGUGUGUGUGUGUGUGUGUGUGUGGGCAUGCGGGUGUUUGUGGGUAUAACAAGGUUUACUAUCAUAUUAUAGAGCCCUCAAACUCAACUCUGGACCUCGAAGCCAGUUCCAUUGCAUUAUUUCAUUGUUCCCUCUAAUCAGGGACUGAUUUAGACCUGGGACACCAGGUAGUGCAAGUCAUUAUCAGGUAGAACAGAAAACCAGCAGGCUCCGGACCUCAUAUGGUAAGAGUUGAAUACCCCUGUUUAUAGAGGAUGAUAUGCUCACAGUGGCUUCACACAUCAGAUCACAAAGCUGGCUUGCAUUAGUAGUUUAAAUGGAGAGGAGUGAGUGGAACUGCACAGUUCUUGUCUGUUCGGGCAAGGGAGAGAUAUUUAACGGCCCUGUUUUUAUAUUGUUCUAAAGCUUAUGAAAAGAACACUGAAGAAGUGUGGUCAGUGUUAUUUCCUGAUAAUUGCUGGUUGAAGAAACACAUCUACACAGGAUCUUCUGGUCAGCAGGUUUUCAUGGGCGGAGUCUCGGCUUUCCAUGGUGACAUCACCAUGUGGUAAAUUGGUUAAAGGCCCAGUGCAGUCAAAAAAGCGGGUUAUGCCUGUGUUUAUUUAUAUGGCCAGGUCGCAAUUGUAAAUGAGAACUUGUUCUCAACUUGGUUAAAUAAAGGUAAAAUAAAAAUAUAUACUGUCUGUGUGUGUAUAUAAAUGCAACAAUUUCAAAGAUUUUACUGAGUUACAUUUCAUAUGAGGAAAUCAGUCUAUUGAAAUAAAUUCAUUAAGCCCUAAUCUAUGGAUUUCACAUGACUGGGAAUACAGAUAUGUAUAUGUUGGUCACAGAUGCCUUAAAAAAAGAAAGUAGGGGUGUGGAUCAGAAAACCAGUCAGUAUCUGGUGUGACCAUUUGCCUCAUGCAGCAUGACAUCUCUCACGUAGAGUUGAUCAGACUGUUGAUUGUGGAAUGUUUUCCCACUCCUCUUCAAUGGCUGUGCGAAGUUGCUGGAUAUUGGCGGGAAAUGGAUCCGGUGAGUAUGCAGGCCAUGGCAGAACUGGGGCAUUUUCAGCCUUUAGGAAUUGUGUACAGAUCCUUGCGACAUGGGGCAGUGCAUUAUCGUGCUGAAACAUGAGGUGAUUGCAGCAGAUGAAUGGCACAACAAUGGGCCUUUUGGAUCUCAUGGUAUCUCUGCAUUCAAAUUGCCAUCAAUAAAAUGCUAUUGUUUUCGUUGUCCGUAGUGUAUGCCUGCCCGUACCAUAAAUCCACCGCCACCAUGGGGCACUCUUCACAAUGUUGACAUCAGCAAACCGCUCAUCCACACAAUGCCAUACAAGUGGUCUGCGGUUGUGAGGCCAGGUUGGACAUACUGUGGGAUUGAGUCUUGGCCUGCCUGGUGACAUCACAAAGGCGUAAAUUAGUUAAUAGACCAAUAAGAAGAGUCCAAACCUCUCUGCCAAUAACAGCUAGUUUUCAGUUUUCCCACUCACAUCAAUCACCCCCAUACAGUCCUAGCAAAAUUCUUGCUUUGCUAAAAUGCAUUUUUUUUGGCCAAUUUGAAUGGAGA
rnacentral:lncRNA from 1 species